UACGUAGGGGGCAAGCGUUGUCCGGAUUUAUUGGGCGUAAAGAGCGUGUAGGCGGUCAGGUAGGUCCGUUGUGAAAACUCGAGGCUCAACCCCGAGACGCCGAUGGAAACCAUCUGACUAGAGUCCGGAAGAGGAGAGUGGAAUUCCUGGUGUAGCGGUGAAAUGCGCAGAUAUCAGGAAGAACACCCGUGGCUAAGGCGGCUCUCUGGGACGGUACUGACGCUGAGACGCGAAAGCGUGGGGAGCGAACAGG
rnacentral:rRNA from 1 species